GAGCUGGGCUGAGCUGGGCUGAGNGCUGAGCUGGGGUGAGCUGAGCUGAGCUGGGGUGAGCUGAG
ensembl:miRNA Gm22175 predicted gene, 22175